AUGGGGUCGAGUUGGACACGACUGAGCAACUUUCACUUUCCUAUAUAUAUAUAUGUAUAUAUAUAUAUUGCAAUUCUCUGAAAUUUUAAAUACUUGGCCAUAGGGUAAAAAUGAGCUCUUUCCUUUUAAUGAUCUUUUCCCAUCAAUUUAGAUGUCAUAAUUUAUUAUAGUGCUAUAUUUGCCAAAUAUCUAAAUGAGUGGUUCUCAGAUUUUAGUUUGCACAAGAAUUACUGGGGAGAGUUUGUUAAAAAGGGUAUGCUCCUGGGAUCAUCUCCAAUCUCCUUUCUUCUCUUCUUUACUUACCCAAAUUAUGCUAAUCCUCAAGGUCUGUUCACAGGCAGCUUCUCUGCAAAUCCCAUUUCUCAUGGAAUCCUUUCUUGCUACCCACCGCCUCCCUCAACCCUUCAAGUCCCUUUCCCACCUGGAUUCCUAGCCUGAGCUGACAAGUGCUGCUGCUUCUUCUUGUUCCCAGAGGAGUGUGCCAGAACUCUGGAGGCACAGGAGUCACUUGUGAUCACAGGAAAUGAAAACUAUGCAGUAAGGGUGGAGAAGAGAAAGACUAAAGGAAAUGAGUCCCCGGUGGCCUUAUUUAAACACAGAAUCCAGCCUGUGUUGUCUGCUCCCAGGUGUUUUGUCUUGGCUUCUCCCUGGAGCAGCAUGAUAGCAAAGGAACAAAAAACCCAGGAUGCUGACAAAACUCAAAAUACCUUUUCUAGGACUGACAAGCUGGACCCUGAACUGGCAUCAAUACAUAGUUUGUCCUCUUCUUCCAUCAGGACUACCACCUUUGUUGAUCAUUGCUCCUGAGAGGCGAGACUGCUGACAGAGACACAACAGUGAGAAAGCUUAUGGCAGCAGAAUCCUCUGAGUCCAUCCUUCCUAAUUUCGCUCAAGCAUCCACCCCUCCACUAUACACUUAAGCAUGAGGAAAGUCUGGCUCCAUCUCCAACUCAGGUUAAUGUGUCCUGAUUCUUUUUUUAUAGCCAGCAUUUAAAAAAAUGUUUAUUUGUCUAUGCUGGGUCUUAUUUGUGGCACUCCGGAUCUUACGCUGCAGCACGUAGGAUCUAGGGUUCAAUCCCUAACCAGGGGUUGAACUCAGGCCCCUGGCAUUGGGAGUGCAGAGUCUUACUGCUGGACCACCUGGGA